GCAGUAGCAGGACCGCUGCUGUGGAGCUGGUCGCAGGCGGUGUGUGCCGGUCGCCUAGUCAGGAGAACUAGUCCUCGACUCACGGUGAGGGAAUGGACCGACACGGGUAUUGUACCGCUGAGGGAAAGGAGCGGGACUCCGGACCUCCAGGAGGUAGGGAGUGAGGCCAGUAGGACCGGCGCGCCUCCGGGGGGAUUCCUCCCGGGCGUUGAGUUGCCAACCUGGGACCCGAGGAAGAUCGGCGUGGUGGUGUGCUUUUUGUUGUUGUUAACCCUCCUCGGAUUUCUCGAAUUUCACACCACUGUCCAUAUGCGAUGAUGUUUGUUUGCCCUUGACGCACUUACUCAUGGAUGGUACUUCUUCAGCCUCGUUAGACAGCCUGGUGAUGGAGGAUGAAGAAACCAUGUGCUUUUCAUUCAGUUCUGGACUUAGUCUCCCUUUUCUUCCUUCAGCAAGUUAUUUUUGUUAGUUCCUUAUCAAAAAGUGUACAUAAAAAUUAGGCAACUCCAAACAUGCCUCCAGGGUUAAUGUGUGAAAUAAUAAGAUAAUAUAUGUAAAGUGGAAUUAGCUCCUAGGCAUAGGGAAAGUGCAGAAUAUUGCCGUGUUGUCAUUUACAGUUCUGUUGAUGUCGAUAACGUUUGUGGGUGUAAUUGGUAGUGUUCUGUCCCUCCAAGGAGUUAAUAAAACAAAGCAAACAUAGGCCUGUUAGGUUUCUGUGGCUACUGAAUAUUUGUUUCUCAAAACACUUGACUGAUAUUUGAUAAUUGAAUGCAGCAGAAAUACGGACGAUUAAAGUCCACAAAUAAUUCCAAAGUUUACUUGAUCUAGUAGUUUUUACCUUUACCUAAAGGGUAAAGCAGAAUAAAUUACCGGAAGGAUCUACUUGGGUUUCCCUUUCCUUCACAUUUGUGGACUCCUGGGGAUCCAGGAAGUAAUUCAGAAAUGACUGUUCAAAAGCCCAUCCAAAAAAAAUUUUUAUUUAAGACGGAAGAAAUUUGAGAUUUUUGUUUGGGUACAGGUUGAGUUUUUUUUGUUUGUUUUUUGAGAUGCGGUCUCACUCUGUUGCCCAGGCUGGAGUGCAGUGGUGUGAUCUCAGCUCACUGCAACUUCCGCCUCCCGGAUUCAAGUGAUUCUCCUGCUUCAGCCUCCUGAGUAGCUGGGAUUACAGAUGCUCGCCACCACACCUGACUAAUUUUUUGUGUUUUUAGUAGAGACAGGAUUUCACU
rnacentral:lncRNA from 10 species